UAUAAAUCGAGUAAUAACAUACGAAAAUGACUCUUCCAGAGGCAUAAAGGGAAUACAAACCAAGACCAGCCAUAACAGCGUAGUAAGGAUAAACAAGAGCAAAACUACCUGGUCUCUAAAUAUUAAACAAUUAGGUUCUUUUUUCUCUUCAUAAUUAAAAACAAGUUUCGUUUAAAACUUACCUGCAAGUAAGUUGGUUUGUGGAUGCU